rnacentral:lncRNA from 1 species
ACGUCGAUCCGGAUCGUCCAAUCUCAACAUUGUUUUCCGAAGGCAAACUUGGAUUAAAGUGCAUCGAUUUUCGCACUCCAUCCAUAGGUCCUUCGUUUCUCCAUCACCAGCAAAAAAUAAAAAACACAUUUCGCAAUAAAAAAUUACAGAUCCAAAUCCAGUAAAAAGAAAAAAAGAAGAUGAUGAUGAUGAUGCUCAGUGAAUACGAACCAGAAAAAUCAAGGAUUCAUCUUGCGGAAUUAGUUAAACUCGCGCAAUCGAAUUUCCUUUCCAAGUGUUUAUCUUCAUCGCAUAGAUCACAACUUUUAAACUUCAAUUUAAAAAAAAAUACAUUGAGAGACGCAAAAGGGAGAGAAAGCUAAACAGAGGAGCUGAAUGAGACGCCGCACAAAGAGG